rnacentral:rRNA from 1 species
AACGCUGGCGGUCUGCUUACACAUGCAAGUCGAACGCAACCUUCGGGUUGAGUGGCGGACGGGUGAGUAACGCGUGAGAAUCUGCCUUGGGGUCGGGGACAACCACUGGAAACGGUGGCUAAUACCGGAUAAGCCUUUGGGUAAAAGAUUUAUUGCCCCAAGAGGAGCUCGCGUCUGAUUAGCUAGUUGGUGAGGUAAGAGCUCACCAAGGCAGCGAUCAGUAGCUGGUCUGAGAGGACGAUCAGCCACACUGGGACUGAGACACGGCCCAGACUCCUACGGGAGGCAGCAGUGGGGAAUUUUCCGCAAUGGGCGAAAGCCUGACGGAGCAAGACCGCGUGAGGGAGGAAGGCUCUUGGGUUGUAAACCUCUUUUCUCAGGGAAGAAGCUCUGACGGUACCUGAGGAAUCAGCCUCGGCUAACUCCGUGCCAGCAGCCGCGGUAAUACGGAGGAGGCAAGCGUUAUCCGGAAUUAUUGGGCGUAAAGCGUCCGCAGGUGGCGAUUCAAGUCUGCUGUCAAAGCACGGGGCUUAACUCCGUUAAGGCAGUGGAAACUGAAUAGCUAGAGUGCCGUAGGGGUAGAGGGAAUUCCCGGUGUAGCGGUGAAAUGCGUAGAGAUCGGGAAGAACAUCGGUGGCGAAAGCGCUCUACUGGACGGCAACUGACACUCAGGGACGAAAGCUACGGGAGCGAAUGGGAUUAGAUACCCCAGUAGUCCUAGCUGUAAACGAUGGAUACUAGGUGUAGCUUGUAUCGACCCGAGCUGUGCCGAAGCUAACGCGUUAAGUAUCCCGNCUGGGGAGUACGCAC